rnacentral:rRNA from 2 species
GGUUAAGCGACUAAGCGUACACGGUGGAUGCCCUGGCAGUCAGAGGCGAUGAAGGACGUGCUAAUCUGCGAUAAGCGUCGGUAAGGUGAUAUGAACCGUUAUAACCGGCGA